UACAGAGGUCCCAAGCGUUGUUCGGAUUCAUUGGGCGUAAAGGGUGCGUAGGUGGCGCCGUAAGUCGGGUGUGAAAUUUCGGAGCUUAACUCCGAAACUGCAUUCGAUACUGCGGUGCUUGAGGACUGGAGAGGAGACUGGAAUUCAUGGUGUAGCAGUGGAAUGCGCAGAUAUCAGGAGGAACACCGGUGGCGAAGGCGGGUCUCUGGGCAGUAACUGACGCUGAGGAGCGAAAGCGUGGGGAGCGAACAGA
rnacentral:rRNA from 1 species